GGCCAGUGAAAGUGGCAGAGGGAAAACUCUGUGAUGUGCAGUUGUAUAACUACUGUGAUCAUGACUGUUAUAGUGAUUGCCCAAAGGUAUAUGGAGCAAGAGCAAUUGGUAUGUGUAGUCCUGAUCAUCUAGUCUGCAUAUGUCGUAGGCUAUGUUAAGUUUUCACCUUCCAACUUUCUUUAUGUAAAGGAGUGGCGAUUCAAAUUAGUGAUGUAAUCCUUUCUUUAAAUAAUUUCAGAUAUAAUAUACAUUUUAGAUGAACCUUUACAGUUUUACAACAUUGUUUACCAUAUUUCUACGAACAAAGUGAUAAAUAAGACAGUUAAUGUCACCAAGAAAUAAAAUAAAUAUUAUUAUUCAUACCC
rnacentral:lncRNA from 1 species